rnacentral:rRNA from 1 species
UACGUAGGUGGCAAGCGUUGUCCGGAUUUACUGGGCGUAAAGAGCGCGCAGGCGGUCAGAUAAGUCGAAUGUGAAAGCCCCCGGCUCAACUGGGGAGGGUCAUUCGAUACUGUUCGACUCGAAGGCAGGAGAGGGAAGCGGAAUUCCCGGUGUAGUGGUGAAAUGCGUAGAUAUCGGGAGGAACACCAGUGGCGAAGGCGGCUUCCUGGCCUGUUCUUGACGCUGAGGCGCGAAAGCGUGGGGAGCGAACGAGG